rnacentral:rRNA from 1 species
UGAGGAAUAUUGGUCAAUGGGCGAGAGCCUGAACCAGCCAUCCCGCGUGCAGGAAGAAGGCCCUAUGGGUUGUAAACUGCUUUUGUGCAGGAAGAACAGUAUCCUCGUGAGGGUAUUUGACGGUACUGCGUGAAUAAGCACCGGCUAACUCCGUGCCAGCAGCCGCGGUAAUACGGAGGGUGCAAGCGUUAUCCGGAUUUAUGGGUUUAAAGGGUGCGUAGGCGGUAUAUUAAGUCAGUGGUGAAAUUUUUGCAGCUUAACUGUAGCAUUGCCAUUGAAACUGAAGUACUUGAGUUAUCUUGGGGUAGCGGAAUGUGUAGUGUAGCGGUGAAAUGCUUAGAUAUUACACAGAACAUCGAUUGCGAAGGCAGCUUACUAAGGGUACACUGACGCUGAGGCACGAAAGCGUGGGGAUCGAACAGGAUUAGAUACCCUGGUAGUCCACGCCGUAAACGAUGAUGACUCGCUGUUGGCGAUAGU